UAGUAACGGCGAGUGAAGCGGGAAGAGCUCAAGCUUAAAAUCUCCGUGCAAGUUUUGCGCGGCGAAUUGUAGUCUAUAGAGGCGUGGUCAGCGUGGGCGCUUGGGGCAAGUUCCUUGGAAGAGGACAGCAUGGAGGGUGAUACUCCCGUUCAUCCCUGAGUGGCUCGUGCGUACGACCCGUUUUCUUUGAGUCGCGUUGUUUGGGAAUGCAGCGCAAAGUAGGUGGUAAAUUCCAUCUAAAGCUAAAUAUUGGUGCGAGACCGAUAGCGAACAAGUACCGUGAGGGAAAGAUGAAAAGAACUUUGAAAAGAGAGUUAAAGAGUACCUGAAACUGCUGAAAGGGAACCGAAUCGUUUCCAGUGUCUAUAAUCUGUGGCAUAUUUCAUUGGCGAGCGUUUGCGUGCGUGUGCUGUGGCAGUGGCUUUUUUUGGCUGCGCCCGGUGUGUGUGCUGUGAGUGUUUGCUGGUGCCCUGUGCUGCGGUGGGACGUCAAGGUCAGUUCGUAUGCUGCGGGAAAUGGCUGCCGAGGAGGUAGGGCUUACGCUCCGCGUUUGUCUGUUAUAUCUUGGUGGACGAGUCGUCGCGGUUGGGACUGAGGUGCCUACAACGUGCUUUUGAGUGGGUUUGUGUCUCCGUGUGCGCCGUGUGCGGAUAGCUUGCUAUGCGUGUGUGGUUGUGUGUGGAUGGAUGCGGGCCUUAACUUGUCGCCGUUC
rnacentral:rRNA from 1 species